AGAGUUUGAUCCUGGCUCAGAACGAACGCUGGCGGCAUGCCUAACACAUGCAAGUCGAACGAACCCUUCGGGGUUAGUGGCGCACGGGUGCGUAACGCGUGGGAAUCUGCCCUUAGGUACGGAAUAACAGUGAGAAAUUACUGCUAAUACCGUAUGAUGUCUUCGGACCAAAGAUUUAUCGCCUAGGGAUGAGCCCGCGUAGGAUUAGCUAGUUGGUGAGGUAAAGGCUCACCAAGGCUACGAUCCUUAGCUGGUCUGAGAGGAUGAUCAGCCACACUGGGACUGAGACACGGUCCAGACUCCUACGGGAGGCAGCAGUGGGGAAUAUUGGACAAUGGGCGAAAGCCUGAUCCAGCAAUGCCGCGUGAGUGAAGAAGGCCUUCGGGUUGUAAAGCUCUUUUACCCGGGAAGAUAAUGACCGUACCGGGAGAAUAAGCCCCGGCUAACUCCGUGCCAGAAGUCGCGGUAAUACGGAGGGGGCUAGCGUUGUUCGGAAUCACUGGGCGUAAAGCGUGCGUAUGCGGUCAUUUAAGUUAUAGGUGAAAGCCCAGGG
rnacentral:rRNA from 1 species